AUGGCUCAGGAUGAACGCUGGCGGCGUGCCUAAUACAUGCAAGUCGUACGAGGGAAGUCCAGCUUGCUGGACGGAACGAGUGGCGAACGGGUGAGUAAUACGUAAGCAACCUGCCUGCAAGGACUGGGGAUAACACCUGGAAACGGGCGCUAAUACCGGAUAGGUAACAAAGGGGCAUCCCUAUGUUAUUAGAGGUUAGAAACACAAGCAGAUGGGCUUAUGGUGCAUUAGCUAGUUGGUGAGGUAACGGCCCACCAAGGCGAUGAUGCAUAGCCGGCCUGAGAGGGUGAACGGCCACAUUGGGACUGAGACACGGCCCAGACUCCUACGGGAGGCAGCAGUAGGGAAUUUUCGGCAAUGGACGAAAGUCUGACCGAGCAACGCCGCGUGAGUGAAGAAGGUUUUCGGAUUGUAAAGCUCUGUUGUAAGGGAAGAACAGCACGGAAAGAAUCCGUGAAUGACGGUACCUUACCAGAAAGCCACGGCUAACUACGUGCCAGCAGCGGC
rnacentral:rRNA from 1 species